rnacentral:sRNA from 1 species
AUGGGGAUGCCAGGCUCAGAAACCGCCUUAGAAGAACUCAUGUGUAGGGUCUUAGAAGACCAUCUUCAGGCAAGAUUUGCCUGGACCAGUGUAAUGGCAGCCCUCAAUGAUUGUGGACUUAAGUUAUUAGCAGGAAAAAACAAUCAUUUGCCCACGCUCAACGACCUUAUUAGGAUGGAUUUGGACACAUGGACGGCUUUCUGCAAGCCCUCACAAAGUCUCAGUCCUAUCCACAUGCAAACUUCCAGACACUGUCCAUGGCUUGCUCUCAUUUAUUGGGGCCUACAAGAUGUUAUCCCGCGUCCUACUAAGCUGCGCACAUACAAUUGCUCCUCUCGAAGUCAGCCCACAAGUCAUGCGUCUCAACAGAUAGCAAGCCAUGUGUCCAAGCAGUACAGUGAAUUUUCUUUAAGUCCCAGAGUGACAUCCUUCCUCUCCACAGCUAGCUGCUAUCAAGUUGACCUUCAACACCUUGCUGGUUCUGCAAACGUCCCAUCAGAUUUUGCCAGCAGGAAUGCAGCCGAAUGCAACAAUCCUUCAUGCCAGGUUUGUAACUUCAUUAAUCAAGUGGAAGACUCAGUGGUACGUGGCGUAAAACACUAA